CAGCCCGAGUCGGUGCUGUUCUCUGUCACCUUCGCUGCAAUUAAACGCCGGUUAAUGUGCGACGCGACAAAUAUCAGCUCUGGAUUUUGGGCUUUCUGAUGUACGAACCCUAGUGUUUACUGUACAUGAAUAGGCCGAUGUAUGGGAAACACUGUAAUAUUAAAAAUGCAUACAAAGUAGCGAAUUAAGUGUGGAUCUACUAUCAACCGCUUUAGAGAAUGUCCCGCAGGACUAUAAGCAUUACCGGGGAAGUUUGGGUCACACAGCCUUCCGGAGCCUCUCUGCCGUCUGCUGGGCUGCCGGCUUCGCUCAGCUGCAUCGCAGGCGUGAGAUUUUCCAUCCGAAACAAGUCUGCGCACGCACUUGCAUCGAGUUCGCUGCUUCCUAACUGCGGGCUCCAGUUAGAUGGCUCUGCUCCAGCCUGCAUC